rnacentral:rRNA from 1 species
UAACGCGUGGGCAACCUGCCUCAUACAGGGGGAUAGCAUCGGGAAACUGGUGGUAAAACCGCAUAAGCGCACGAAGACGCAUGUAUUCGUGUGAAAAGGAGAAAUCUGGUAUGAGAUGGACCCGUGUCUGAUUAGCUAGUUGGAGUGGUAAAAGCACACCAAGGCGACGAUCAGUAGCCGGCCUGAGAGGGUGGACGGCCACAUUGGGACUGAGACACGGCCCAGACUCCUACGGGAGGCAGCAG